UACGUAGGCAGCGAGCGUUGUUCGGAGUUACUGGGCGUAAAGGGUGUGUAGGCGGUUGUUUAAGGUUGGUGUGAAAUCUCCCGGCUCAACUGGGAGGGUGCGCCGAAUACUGAAUGACUUCGAGUGCGGGAGAGGUGAGUGGAAUUCCUGGUGUAGCGGUGAAAUGCGUAGAUAUCAGGAGGAACACCGGUGGUGUAGACGGCUCACUGGACCGUAACUGACGCUGAGACACGAAAGCCAGGGGAGCAAACGGG
rnacentral:rRNA from 1 species